UGGGGAAUAUUGCACAAUGGGCGCAAGCCUGAUGCAGCCAUGCCGCGUGUGUGAAGAAGGCCUUCGGGUUGUAAAGCACUUUCAGCGAGGAGGAAGGUGGUGAGCUUAAUACGCUCAUCAAUUGACGUUACUCGCAGAAGAAGCACCGGCUAACUCCGUGCCAGCAGCCGCGGUAAUACGGAGGGUGCAAGCGUUAAUCGGAAUUACUGGGCGUAAAGCGCACGCAGGCGGUUUGUUAAGUCAGAUGUGAAAUCCCCGGGCUCAACCUGGGAACUGCAUUUGAAACUGGCAGCUAGAGUCUCGUAGAGGGGGUAGAAUUCCAGGUGUAGCGGUGAAAUGCGUAGAGAUCUGGAGGAAUACCGGUGGCGAAGGCGGCCCCCUGGACGAAGACUGACGCUCAGGUGCG
rnacentral:rRNA from 1 species